GGAGUUAGCCGGUGCUUCUUCUGCGAGUAACGUCACAGAUGUAAGGUAUUAACUUACACCCUUUCCUCCUCGCUGAAAGUGCUUUACAACCCGAAGGCCUUCUUCACACACGCGGCAUGGCUGCAUCAGGGUUUCCCCCAUUGUGCAAUAUUCCCCACUGCUGCCUCCCGUAGGAGUCUGGGCCGUGUCUCAGUCCCAGUGUGGCUGAUCAUCCUCUCAGACCAGCUAGGGAUCGUCGCCUAGGUGAGCCUUUACCUCACCUACUAGCUAAUCCCACCUGGGCUUAUCCAUCAGCGCAAGGCCCGAAGGUCCCCUGCUUUCCCCCGUAGGGCGUAUGCGGUAUUAGCAGUCGUUUCCAACUGUUAUCCCCCACAAAUGGGCAAAUUCCCAGGCAUUACUCACCCGUCCGCCGCUCGUCAUCUUCAAAAGCAAGCUUUUGAAAUGUUACCGCUCGACUUGCAUGUGUUAGGCCUGCCGCCAGCGUUCAAUCUGAGCAGANANACACUCNNGAGCGGCGGCGNGACGACGCGACA
rnacentral:rRNA from 1 species